rnacentral:lncRNA from 1 species
GUGAAUUCUAGUGUGAAACAGAUACAAUUGGAAAAUCGAAAUAAUGUUGAUGGAAUUUAAUCAGAUGAGGAGACAGGGGAAAACAGAAUAAAAGACUUGCCCAGGAUCACAUGGCUGAAGCUCAAUUUGAACUCACAUCUCCCUGACUCCAGACCAGUGAUAUCCUAAAAAAAUUCCAGCAUAUACAACAACCACAAGAGAGGACCCACAAAAAAGGAGGAAUCAUGAAGCAAUGCAGAGAUGAAUCCAGGAAGACAUCAACACACAUGCAUAUGCACUUAUACAUAUAUAUGCAUGUGAAUCAAUCUCUUUCAACAAGUAAAAUGGAACAUAACUGCGCCAUGGGAAAUUACAAAAAUUAAGAAUUCAGAAAAACUUGGAAAGGCUCAUAGAAAUUGAUGCAAGGAUGAAUGAACAAGAUCAAGAAAUUAUAUAUACAUAUAUAUAUAUGUAUAUAUAUAUAUGAAGGAAAACAAUAUUAAACAAUUUUAU